GAAUUUGUAAUGACAUUCAAAGCUAACUCAGAUCUCUUAGAAAGUUGGAGCUGGGAGUGACUCAGGGGACAGCCCUUGUUCUAUAAACAAGGAAGCUACAUCCCUAACAGAGUCACCUGGCAAGAGCUCCACUGAGUGCUGUCGUUAUAGAGUACAGGAAGAUGAAGACAUGUGUGAGUUGUUUAGUAGCUGUUAAAUGUAAAACAAUUCAGUUGCUAAAACCUUUGGCCUCCUCUAGUACCUGCAAUCAAAUACUCCAUUUUCUGAGCUGAGAAUAGUUAAUGCUCAAAGGUGCUAAAGGACAGCUCCAGUCUCCAUCUUCUCUCAAGUAUUCAUGCUCAGCAUUUGAAUCCAUCCUCCAGACUGAAACUCAAGUGACCUCACUGCUUUAAAGGUAGCUCCAGAGAAUACUAAAAAGUCACCAAACCUCCUGGGAUUCAUAUGCAGAGACACUUUUUUGUAUGGAAACAAACAAGAUGAAAAAGUCUGCACAGAAGCCUGCCAUGUUCCUGACACAUUGUGGGCUCAAACAUAUGGUCUCUUACUGCUAUGGUUUCAUCUAAGAGGAAAGCAAAGAAGAGAAAUAAAUGUUUGUUGAGUGAAUGACUAAUUACCAAAGGUAUAAUUCAGUAAUCGCUCACAGCACCAUCUGUCAUUUCUGAGCAACUAAAAUUUCACAAACAGAAUCAUCACCCACCUGGCCUACAGGGCAGAACUUGGCUCCUAUCUCAACACUCUGAGGCUUUCUCAGAUGACAAACUGUAGGAGUUCCUGGCAUAUAGAACUUACAACAAAACUUGCCUGGUGGUGCAUCCUCCCUGAAUCAAAUUUAACUGUCACGGUGCCAUAAAGGCAUUUAGCAGGAAGGAUCUACCCCUACAGAGUAGAAACAUGACUUGAUUGAUGAGAAACCUCCAUCGAAUUUGAGGCCUAGACUAGACCCAAAUGAAGUUGUUUGCAGGCCUCAUAACUUUUAUCCUGAGAAUCCAGCAGGUCUGCUGCUGGCUCAAGGUGACUUCAUCACAGCCUUGCCCUUCCCUCAGCCCCACACAUGUGACCUCUGAGUCUUUUGCUUAUGAUUCAUGGCCUACAACCCUGCCAGGAUAAUGCUGACCACUACAGUGGCUAACGCUGCAGGAUUCAAAUGAAGCCACCUCCUCUACAAACUGUGAUGUGUGCAGUUCCUCCCAAGCUAACUCUCUUGGCUGUAGCAUCCCAUCCACAGAUGCAUGGAAUCCCAGAUGGACCCAUCUGUUGAGCACUGACUCUAUGACAGGGACUUACCUAAAUAUUUAUAGGCACUAUCUGAUUUUAUUCUCCUGAUAGCCAAAUGAUAUAAAUUUUAUUACACUCAUUUUUUUUUUUUUUUUGGUAGAGACAGAGUCUCACUGUACCGCCCUCGGGUAGAGUGCCGUGGCGUCACACGGCUCACAGCAACCUCUAACUCUUGGGCUUACAUGAUUCUCUUGCCUCAGCCUCCCGAGCAGCUGGGACUACAUUAUUAGACUCAUUUUAUAUAUGAGGAAACAGAAACUCAAAGAUCAAGUGUUUGGUCUAAAGUCACACAACUAACAAGUGACAGAGCAAAAUUAGUACCUAGAUGUACAACUCCAAAUCUCGAGCUUGGCGCCUCUGCACUUCACAGCUGACUUUGUCACACUGUCUCUCAUUGCUGAGGUACUAUGGCACACCCAUAAACACCAGGCAGACAGGAUUGGAGACAGCUGGAUCUAGUUGGAGCCUAACCCCAUUCACCCAUCUGUUCAUUCUUUCAGCAGAUGUUGAUACCUACUGUGGGCCAGGCUACGACAGGUGCUGGGGUUUAGAAUAAAUAGCACAGAUGUUCUACCCUUAGCGUGAGGACUUUGAAGACAAAUGACUUAUUCUGGAGGCUGCUCAGUCUGUGUCCCAUGUAUACACAUAUAUUCACUUUUACCAACAGAGAUUAUCUCUGCAGAGAGCUCUGGAUUGGAUCAAGCUGACUCUUGGGGCCAGGGUCAUGCAAAGUCCAGGCAGACAACUGAACAGCACUGUUGUUGAUCCCAUACUAAGUAUUCUCCCAGGAGAACUUCAAAUAGCAGAGCAUUUCAAAGCCUCUCCUCUCCACCUAUCUGGAAUUGCUUUUUGGCUGCACCUUAGACUCACUAGUAGCAAUAUUUCUGGAGCCAUCACAGUUCAAGUGAAGUACAAUAUUUCAUGUUUCUUCAAUUUCUGGCUUAACUUGAUAUAGAAGGCCUGGAAGGCCCUGGACAAAUUCUCAAACACCCUUGACAUUCCUCAUAUACUUUUUUCUUCUCAUGGGAGACCAAUGGGAUUAGACAAUUGUGACUGACCUCUGUGCUAAAGUCACACCAUCUCUGUGUGAACUCUUCCAGAAGACCACACUUUUUGCAACAGAUGGAACACAAAGGAAUGCAAGAUUUCUGUAAUAAUCUCUGUGACCAGCAAUAUUCAUUUUCACUUUACAUAUUCUUGUUAAGGAUAGAGAAAGGUUGCCCAAUGGGACUGCCCACCCAACAGGGGAACACUCACUCCAAUUUCUUCCCCAGGGAGGUAACAAAAAGAACUUGAUGGUGCUCCCACAACUUGGCCAGAACAAGUCUCAGAAAUGUAUCAUUACAGAGCAGCAAACAUUGGAUUUGGGGGAAUUUGCUUGAUAAUGACAGUAGAUGCCUAGUAGAGGGAUUGCAGAGGUGUUGUGAACGGAGUUAGGGGGCCCCUCCAGCCUCUGAAGACAGAAGUGGUUUGCCUGGGAUAUCAGAGAACCAUCAACAGUCAAAACUAAGUUGAGUGUUAGGAAGGCUGAAGAGAAGAGGAACAGGAAUGUGCUAUUUUAGUGUUCAAUGAAGGAUCCAACUUGCUGUCAGGACAAGCCAGGACAUGACAAGCUACUCCACACGGAGGGCAGGGGUUCACCCUGCAGGGCUUUGGAGAGGAGAGAGCUGUGCCACCC